UCCUCUGAAGUUCAGUCGGUAGAACGGCGGACUGAUAAUCCGUAUGUCACUGGUUCGAGUCCAGUCAGAGGAGCCA
rnacentral:tRNA from 1 species